UACGUAGGGUGCGAGCGUUAAUCGGAAUUACUGGGCGUAAAGCGUGCGCAGGCGGUUUUGUAAGACAGAGGUGAAAUUCCCGGGCUUAACCUGGGGGCUGCCUUUGUGACUGCAAAGCUGGAGUGCGGCAGAGGGGGAUGGAAUUCCGCGUGUAGCAGUGAAAUGCGUAGAUAUGCGGAGGAACACCGAUGGCGAAGGCAAUCCCCUGGGCCUGCACUGACGCUCAUGCACGAAAGCGUGGGGAGCAAACAGG
rnacentral:rRNA from 1 species